UACGUAGGGUGCGAGCGUUAAUCGGAAUUACUGGGCGUAAAGCGUGCGCAGGCGGUUCGCUGUGUCCGAUGUGAAAGCCCCGGGCUUAACCUGGGAAUGGCAUUGGAAACUGGCGGGCUUGAGUGCGGCAGAGGGGGGUGGAAUUCCGCGUGUAGCAGUGAAAUGCGUAGAGAUGCGGAGGAACACCGAUGGCGAAGGCAAUCCCCUGGGCCUGCACUGACGCUCAUGCACGAAAGCGUGGGGAGCAAACAGG
rnacentral:rRNA from 1 species